rnacentral:lncRNA from 1 species
GUUGUUUAACUAGUACCAGUUUGUUUUCUGGUUGCUGAAUGAAUUCUUUCAGCUGCUUUACAGUAGCCAGUCUUCGGUCUCUGUCGUCUUCCCGAGUAAUCCUCCGAAGAAGAUUUGACAGUCGAGACUCGUCAGAAUAAGACAACGAUCGCUCCUGUGAUUUCCUCAUGUCUUUUGUGGCUAAAGCACGAUUCCCAUGCGGAACACUGGUAAAAUCAGGAUUGGUCACAUUGUUAACUCUCAGCUCUUGCCCCAACGACUUCCGACCAUAAGUAUUUUCCCCAGAU